AUUUACCGAUGACUGCAGAAAAGACUCGAUGUUUACCGACAUCGAAAGAUGAUGUUUACCGACAUCAAAAAAUGACCAGACAUUUACCGAUGACUGGGGAAAAGACUCGAUGUUUACCGACAUCGAAAGAUGAUGUUUACCGACAUCAAAAAAAAUGACCAGACAUUUGCCGAUGACUGGGGAGAAAACCCGAUGUUUACAGACACCGAAACAAUGGUGUUUACCGAUACCAAACAUGAUGACCAGACAUUUACUGAUGACUGGGGAGAAUACCCG
rnacentral:lncRNA from 1 species